CACUCUGUUUAUAUGCCCCAAAGAGCCUGAACCAAGACAGACGUAAGUAGGAGCAGCUGGAUUUGACCCUAACUCUUGAAAAUCCUGCCCUGCUUGAGAGGUAAGGCAUAUCUUCAGCUUUGCAAGCACACUAUUUUGUGUGUGUGUGUGUGAGAGAGAGAAAAUGGUUAAAAUUAAUGUGAAUUUGGUUCUCCCUCCUCAUAUUUGUCUAUAUUAAUAUACUUUUUAAUUGUUAAUAUUAUCAUUAGAAAGGUGAUGGUUUCAUGAAUGAAUUAUGAAGGAGAAAAGAAUUUUGGUAUCUAAAAUUGUUGGCCAAUAAUUGACCAUUUUCUGCCUGGGUCAUGUACGUGCACUGAGAGGUUGAAGUGUACUGUGUGUGCUUCUUCAGGCAUUUCCUAUUUAUCUGAGACACUUUUGAGACAGAGAGGUGACUGGAGAAAAUGAAGGGUUCUCCUUUAUUUUUAUGAACAAUUCUCUACGCCUCAUUACUCUCACAAUUUUUGAAUAUCUACAAUCUUUUCUCUCAGUUUUCUUAACCUCCACGCUGAUGGUCCUGAUUCAGAGCUACUUCGUUUAUUACCCAAACACAGCUUGGGGAAGGGAAGGGGGAUGUAAGGCAGUAGAGGCUUAAUUCCCCUUGUUAUUAUACAUGGCUAUUGCUAUUUGUCCUAGGGAAGAGGGUUAGCUUGGCCCUACUAGAUAAAGAGCGUGUUAAAAAGGCCUCCCAAAUUUACAAGUGAAAAACAAACAUUUUGCGAGUAAAAAACAAACACACAUAUCCUUUGCCCAUUAAACAUUUUGUUUUGUUUUUUAAAAUGAGCAAGGGAUAUGAACAGACACUUUUCUUUUUAAAUUCUUAUUUAUUUAUUUAUCAACUUUUAUUUUAAGUUCUGGGGUACAUGUGCAGGAUGUGCAGUUAAAGGCACCCUGCAGUUAUUUAACCCUGACUUCACAUACCAAAGGAAGUCUAAUUAUUUGAUGUGUGCUAAACAUCCUCAGUGUGGUGCUGCUGUUCAGCCACAUUAAAUUCACAGGACAAGUCUGCACCCUAUGUAGUACAGAUUGAGUAUCCUUAAUCCAAAAGUCUGAAAUCCAAAAUACUCCAAAAUAUGUAACUUUUUGAGUGCUGGCAUGAUUCUCAAAGGAAAUGCUCAUCGGAGCAUUUCAGAUUUUGGAUUUUGGAUUAGGGAUGCUCAAACAGUACUUCAUGUGAUGUACUGUGCCCCUAGUUAAUUGCAAGCUGAAGCCAAGCUGACUGACAGUAAAUCAAGAAAAUGAUGUAUAAGGCAUGCCCAAUUAUAGAUGGAAUACAUUCAUAUUAAUGGUAUCC
rnacentral:lncRNA from 1 species